AGAGCAGCCAACAUGGCGGCGGAACGCGGCGCGGGGCAGCAACAGUCGCAGGAGAUGAUGGAGGAAGAACAUGAGCUGCCUGUGGACAUGGAAACCAUCAACCUGGACAGAGAUGCAGAGGAUGUUGAUUUGAAUCACUAUCGCAUAGGGAAGAUUGAAGGAUUUGAGGUACUGAAGAAAGUGAAGGUGAGAGGGACUCUCAUGAGGGGACUAUGACGCUCACCCAUAGGAUGUGGAUAAGUCCAGAAUCCAGCAAUCAGUCCUGAGUUGUGGUCCUUGUCCCAGCCUGUGGGCGGCGUGGCUGCCUCCACCUUGUAGCAGGCCUUUCUUUACUGGGAGCACAGCAGGUGUGAGACAGCAGUGGAGGGACUUGAGGCACAGCCCUGGGGCUGGCUCUCCUGAGCCCAGGCAGCCAGUGACCUGUGACUCUGGCCUGCCUCAGUUCUGCGCCUGUGUUCAAUUAGGCACUCGCUGAAUUUUACAGUCCUCCGCGCAUCUCAUUGGAAUUUGUCAAAACUGAGCCCACCAAAGGUUCUUAUGUUCUGCCAGGAAGUGGCAG
rnacentral:sRNA from 1 species